GGGAGAUGGUGUUCUCCCCCUCUCUCACAGUGUAGUGAUUGGCACACAGAGUAAAUAGAUGCUUAACAAGGAAACUAAGGAGAAGGAAUGCAGGUCGUUGCACACAGAGUGGGAAGCGGAGAUCCUAACGCCCCUCAGCAGGGAUCUAAACAGCUCUGGCUCGGGAGCUGGGGCCAGGAGGGCCCCCUUCUCCCUGCCAAAGCAGCCUCAGCAGGGAGGGGGAGAGUUAAUAUGGCCAGGAAAAUCUUCCUCUUCCUCUCCCUUCUCCCACACACUUCCAUCUUCCUAUCCUUCCGCUGAGUUAACGCCCCGAGCCCAAUCCUUGGGACAGGCUGCCCUGAGGUGACAGAGAAGACCCGGGGGGGUGACCGCCAGAGCAAGAGAGAGCGGAAAGAAAGCAGGCAGAACGCUGGCAGAUUCCUGGAAGGAGUCUUUAAUAAGGAUUUGGUAGUAUACAAGCUCUCCGGAUUGUCUGGAUUAACAUACAGGGACUUUAAAAAGGCACAAAAUCCUUUGCACAGCGGCUGGGGGCCCUUAGGGCGCUUCCUCCCUCUCCCCUUUCUACCCCCGCGCGUGUGCGUGUCGGUGCGUGUCCGUGUCAGCCCCCCACCCCCGUGACCUUGCGCGUGUGCGUUUGUGUAGUUGGUGUGUCGUCUUCAAGUGUUGGAUUUGUACAGUACUCGCAGUCCUAGGCAGCCCAGCGAGGCGAGCGGAGGGGAAGGCGAGGGAGAGGGGAGGGAGGGAGCGCGCUCAGUGCAUGCUUUUAUUAUACAGAGGCCAGAGCCCGGAGCCGCUCUCUAAACCGCUAUGUACACCAGGGAAGGGCAGGACCCCGAAGAAGGAAGAAAAGAAAAAAAAAAAAAACAGAAAGAAAGAAAGAAAAGAAGCUUCCAAUUGUUUCUUUUCUUGUUUCUUGCAUGCUUAGUCUGCCCCGGGGGAAUAGUGCAAGCGUAUAAUACAGUAUUAUUGCAUUAAAAAAAGGCGGGGGAAGAGCUGGAGUGAUGAUGGGAGGGGGCUCAGGGGAUAAAUCAGCUGUGGCUCAGGAUCUUUUGGGAGAUUCAUGUCUCCUGUGCCCCCAACCCCAAGCCUCCUCCUGGCCAAGAAGGCGCUUCCUGGCCAGCAGGUGCUUGCUGAGUGAAGGGGUGAGGGUGGGGGGAAGGGAGAGGAAGAAGGAUGCAUAUGGCCUCAAAAAAUUGGGCUGAGCCCCCCGAGGCUGAGCUGCCCAAUCAACAUCCUCCCCCAAAUGGUAGAUGAGAAUGAGGAUGGGGAUGAAAGGAUGUGGGGCAGCCCCUCUUCUUGCUCAAUACUGUCAUUACAAAUUAGCCGGAACCCUGUCUCUCUUUCUCUCUCUCUCUCUCCCCCCCUCACCCAGCCCCUCAAAGUGGGGAGAAUAGAAGGGGAUCAGUGAUGGAGCAAGUGCAAAGGAAGCAGAUGUUGGUCCCUGAGUUUAUUUUGUGGGGAGGAGUGGAAGGUUAGGGGACCCCCCAGUGGCCUCCAUUAUGGGGGGCAGUAGGAGAAGAGAGGGGUUAGGGAUUCUUGGAACAAUGGGCAUGGCCAGUGGGGGCCGGGACUGCUCGGAGAGACCCAGGCUCUGAGCUUCUUUCUCCCUCACUUUAGGCUCUUUGGCAUCCAAUUGCAAGGCCAAUUUUUUUUUUUUGGGGGGGGGAGGAGUUAGAGGUAAGGGAAUGGAUAAGCCAGCUCUUCUGGCUGGUGAGGUAAAAAAGGGUUGGGGGAAGGUGGAGUGUGAGGGAGAGAAACCCACUGAGCCAGGAAAAUAACCCCCUUUCCAAAAUCUCUUUCCCCAGGCUCAACUCCCUCUAUCCCCACUCUGGAAGCACGUAAAAAGGUGGGGGACAGGACUCCUUCCGCUACCCUCCAGGCCCCACCUAGGGGAAAGAGACAAGAGAGCUGGAGGCCAAAGGAAACAAGAUGGGGUGGGGGUGAGAACAUAGACAAGGACGGGGCCAAAAAAAGAGAAACCAACAUAUAUACAAAUAGCAGCAGACAAUUGGGGAGGAGGCGCAGCCCGGUCCCCAGCUCCUCUGGGAGGAGCCAAUGAGAAAGAACCCCCACUGCCAGCUUGGGGGCUGAGGUCACCCCAAGGUGGAAGCUCUGGAAAUCUGUGUGGGAAAUGGGGUACGAGGCCUGGGGCAUAAAAGAGCAGAAGAAGCCAUCUCGGGGGGAGGGGAGGCAGGCUGAAACCCUGCUUCAUAGGCAAGCGGACAGGUGCUGGGAGAAAACCUCCCUUUCCCCCACCCCUUCCCGGUCCCCCGCCCUAAGUAUCCCGGCGCCACGCUCUCCUCCCACGCCAGCGUCCCUAUCCCCGGUCACGCGGCUUAGUUUAGCAGCUUGUUAAAAAGACACAAGAUACAUUCGUGAUGCGAUCGAUCGCCGCCGCGGGGGCGGGGGGGCAGAGUACAAAGUUACUACAGUGAAUGAACUUUUGGGAAAACAGCCCAGAAACGCCACCGCCUCUGUCCGGUCUGAGCUGGGGAAAAUCUCUAGCUUGUCGUCGGGGGCAGGGGGCUGAUAUGCCAGGAAAUGAGGGGCAGGGCGGAGCUUUGUGUGGCUCAAGCAGAAUUACAAGUCUCAUCGAAAAUAAAACGCGAGUGGGGGCUGUCGGAAGAGAGCAAAAGGGUCUUCCUCAACCCCACCCUCACUAUGCGUCUGCAGAUUGGAAAGAAUUAAGUUUGGGGGACCAUCUUGAAUAUGAGCAGUGCCACGGAGCCUCCUUAGAACAGUACACCCCUUCACAAACACACACACUCACACAACUAACGGUUCCAGACAAAGGUGUAUGACUAGAAGUUCCCCCCAACAGAAGGACACUUGAAGUCCCCAAACCCACCCUACAAUUACCAAACCUCAUCUCUCCUAGAUGAUAGCCCUUUAGUGUUCUGAUCCCACCCAAGCAUGCCCUGGACUACCAGAAGUCAGCAAGAUUGAAGGAUUCCAUGCCUUGGCCUGACCUUUGGCUACCCUAAACCCCAGAGUCCUCUCUGUGUUGGUAUUGUGCUGGAUACCAAACCUCCUACUUUCUGCACUCACUCCCCACCCCAAUGCUCAGGUUGGUGGAAAGCCGAAGGAAAUUGGAUCUUCUAUCAUUAGAUGGCCCAGGUACUGGGAAGGCAAUGAACCCCUCAAACUCCUCCAGGAAAGACAAAUUAGACCAUCCCACUGCCCAACUGCAGAGCUGCAGGAGCUGGGGAGGUGGGGUGACAGACUGGGAGAGAAAUUUUUAAAAUGAGGAAAUGGAGAUUCACACUUAACUGAAUCUGCCCCAUGGCUUGGGUACAAAGGUAGAGAUGGGAAAGGUCUGGUACUUAGUUAACUAGUGUGGGUCCAUUAAAACUGUGGAAAAUAGUCCUGGGGGGGAGGAUGUGAUGAAGAUCCUUUGAGGUGAGGAGUUAGUGAAAAAGUGAUGAAAAAAUUAGCUAUUACUUUGAAGGAAAUAAAGCCCCCUAGCCUGUUCUCUGGCUUAUGGAUCAAAGCUUUUGCAGAAGAAACUUGUCCUUUCCCUUUAAUGAAAGCUGAUCUACAACACUCCUUAGACCUUUGUAACCAUUCAACAAUGCCAGUACUUGUAGCACACUGGGGCCUCUCACCAGCAAAAGGGUCACUGGCCCAGGUCCUAUCUUUUAGGUUGGACUGAAUCCUGACAAAGAUGGGAGGAUCGAAAGACUUUCCCCCAGGGUCUCUCCCUUCCUCCCCUCCCCCAUUCAUCCCAGUCAAGAACCACAUACAGAAUACAGCAAGGAAAGGAAACAUCCUUGGAAGCUGGGUAGGAUACUGGCAAACUGGCAAGAUGAACUCACCACUUCCCACCCAGAUCAGCAUUAAUCCCCUCUUCAAAGUCAUCUGGUCAUCUCUAAAAUCAACACAAUUGAUAGAUCUCAGUAUGGCCACACCAGCAUCCGAGGACAUGCAUGCAACAGACUGAGUACCAAAUACUAGCUCUUUUUCUGGGAUAGAACAGGAGUAAGAAGGAGCAGGAGAGAGAUUUCAGAUCCUCCAUGGCCUGCUUGUUGGGCAUGGGUGAGGUCACUACACAUCCUCUCAGGCCCAAAUUGAAAUCAUUGAUAUAAAUAGCCCUCAUGAUCCAGUCUAGGGUAGAACAGGCAAAGUAAGAAAGGGAUGGAAAUUAUGAAACCUAAUGCAGUUGCAAAUGGAAAUCCCUUAAGGAGGGUAUAAAAGGUUAAUAAUGUACUAGAAGUAGUCCAGAAGUUCCAAAUUCUAGUCCCUCAUUAGGUCAAGGGUUAAGGAUUAAUUUUUCAUGCCUUCCAUGGCUUUUAAUGCCAAUCCAUUUGGAUUGGAUGAGUGGACCUGGUGCUUGAAGGUUUUUGAAAGUCAGGGAAAAUUGGGAUGGGACGUAAGAGUUGGCUACCAUUCUGCCCAUCUAACUCCUGCCCUAGGACCAAAAGCUAUUAAGACCUUUCUAAAACACACCAGGAAGACCAGGUGGCUAUCUACUAAAACUUACAUGGAGUCACAGAAUAUACUCACAUAAACCCGUAAGUAUGUACCUGCUCAUGCCUUCAUAUACAGAUAAGCAUAUGGCAUUUUAGCUUGGGAUAACAGAAAGAGUCCUAGAUUUGUAGUCUGAAGACUUCCAUUCAAAUCUUAGCUCUGUCACUGCCACUGUCUGGCAAGACAUUUAAUUCCCUCUGGACUUUUCUUACCUGUAUCAAAUAAGAGAGUUUAAUUAGAUGAUAUCUAAAAUCUUUCUUCCACCUCCAAGGUCCUAUGAUCCAUAGACUUUGGCCAAAAAGCAAGAGCUUCUCUUUAGAAGCCCACUUGGUCUGAGUGGGUCAAGGAGAAGAUACCUCCUUUUCAGACUCCAAAGUCUGGGCCUCUCCACUCUCCAGAAAAUCCAAGGCCUACCCAUUUAAAAAAAGACAGAAUCAUGGGGUCACUGGAUUUCUCAAGGACUUCAAGAGCCACCUGAUUCAACUCUAAUUUUACAGAGGAGAGAAAUCUGGAAAGGGGAAGUCCCAAGGUCACAAGGAGAGUUGAUGGUUCUGCCAGGUAUCUGUCUCAGGAUACCAAGCUGCUCUCUCAUAGAUGUUUAGAGGCUAAAGAAAAAUCUCCCUAGUGCCUUGGUUACUAGACCAAAGAACUCAAAUUCAGAAUUCAGUAGGACCUGGAUAUUUUGUUAAAUGCCAUAUAAAUUACUUUCCCUAAAGACUGUUUCCAAAUACAAAAGUCUGGUUUUGAACACCCACUGUUUCAUCUGGGGGUUCACAUUGACCAGGCUUCCAACUACAACUGCAUUCUGACCUCUGACCUUGCCUUUCAGUCCUGCAACUUCAAUCAUUCUGGUAAGUGACUGAGGAGGAGAAAAUGGAAGGAACUAAGAUAAAGGAGUAAAGCCUUUCCCUGAAGUGGAAGACUGUUUCCAUGCCAUUCAUUAGGAGAUGCAUGCAGAUAAUAUGGGUGAAACCUGCUCUGUUAAUCCUCUUUCAAAGAUGACUCAACAAGGAAAGUCCUAAACUCUUAUUGAUAAGGAAGAAAGGGGACAAGCUGCUGGUCAUUUUGGGGAAGGAAGUCAUCUCACACACUAUUCCAUUCCAUAAGGGAAACAAAAAAAGGAAGGAAAAAAAUUAUCUUUUCUACCAAUAAAUAAUUUAAGUAAGUAAAAAAAAAAGACUAAAUAAAUAAACCAAUAAGUUAGGUAAGUUCCUGGUUAUUUAGCAUCCUCAGGAAAUGAGAUACUCUGGUAAAUCCAAAAAUUCUCUUUAAAAAUGUGCCACAAACAUUCUUUUCCAAGCAAGCACACCUGAAGUCAUCCAAACAAAGGCUGGGCUCAUUCCAUGUAGGGAAUUGCCUUCAUAGAACUUCUUAAAAAUCACAUAAAAUUUUCUGCCUCCUUAUUGGGCAGUCACAUCUCACUUUAGGCCACACAGGAUUGCCAAUCAUUCCUCAGCCUGACUAUCUAUGCCACUCUGCAAUACUGGCUCAGAAUGAUUUUUGACUAUUUACAGAAAAACAAAUUCAUCUUUAAAGACUCCAGGGACAUCACCCCAGAAGAGCCCCAGACUCCAAAAGCAAUCCCCAAAGAGGAAUUUUAAAUGUGUUUUGAACUAUGACUUCCCAAAUGAACUACUCUGAAAGGCUGGGCACUGAAUUACAUUAUUUGAGUUCUUGAUUGACUCUUAAAAAAAAAAAAGUCUCCAUACCUUAUCAUAAGGUAUUGUUGAAAUAAGGUUGCAGUUUCCCAAAGGGAAUACAGUAAAAUGCUAAAAACCUUUCUGAAUGAAAUUUGAUCUUUGAUGGUUUAGAAUGUAUUCAUGAUUUUGUGGACAUAACAUCAGUGAUUGCUAAACUACAACUAUAUGAAAGGACUGAUUAAUGGAGAAUUCUACUUAAAAGAAUGUCUUCUUUCACACUGACAGGAAGUGACUUAAUUCCAAUUAGCCUAGGUCUUUGGAAUCCUCUCGAUGUAAUCUUAGGGGAGAAUUCUGGGGGUAAUGGAGGAAGGGGUAAGUACUUUUAUUAGAUGUCUCACUAAUAAGGGGAGGGGCCUUCAAGGUAGUUAGAAAUAGAAGGAAUUAAAAGGAAUGGGAAAAGAUUAGGGGACUGAAAGGGAAGGUUCAUGGGAAUUAAGGUAUAUUUAAUAUUUUCUUGAAUAGAGAGCAAUUAAUGAGAUGGCAAAAGAUGGGGGGGUAAGCAAAAUUUUAAAUAGGUAUAGAUGGGGGAGUCCUUUGAGAGUCAACUGGGAAUUUAGCUCAGGGAUUUGUCAGAACUGAGGAAAAGAGUGGGUUAUUGGGAUGAAGGAGAGGGUAGAUUAAAGGUUAUAGAAUAUUCCUAUUCUUAGGUUUUAUCCUAGGGAUGGAUGGCUUUUGGAGUUGAUGAUCUAUCUGUCUCUCUUUUGUGCUUUUGUUUCCUGGAGGCUCUUUGCUUGCCACUUCCUAGAAAGGGAACACAGAAGAAAUUCAUUACCCUCCAAAGAAAGCAUUUGGAAGGUUCAAGGGCAGCAGAGUCAGAAGACAGGAAGUUGAAUUACAAAUCUGAUAGAGGGCAGAGAACCCAAGACCUCAAAUUACAUGGGAAUGGGACUGCCAGUGAAGAAUGCUGCCUUUUUUGUUUGUUUUUUGGUUUGGUUUUUUUUUUUGUUUGUUUGUUAAUAAGAAUAAGGUUUAGUAGGAAGUGGAGAGAAUGCAAAGAGAUGAAUAUAUGAUGUCUAAAAUCCUUUCCAAUGUCAACACACAAUGAUUAAGAUUCCAGACACAGAAACUCUAAUCAAAUUUGAGACACCUGGGUUUGGAUAGAGACUUGUGAAGAGGAUGGAAGGAUAAGAGAAAAAUCCCUACUUCACCCAACCCCAGACUUGUACAUGGAACUGGAAGAGAAUAUAAGUCAGUUCACUGAAAUGGAACCAUCACAGGAUCAUUAUUUUAGAGCUGGAAAAGACCUUAGUGGUCAUUGAACUCAACCUCUCAGUUUUGCAGAUGAGGUAACUGAGGCUAAGGGAAACUAAGGGAAAUCCAAGUCAGUCACCAGAAAAUACAAAUGGAGAGUGACCUGGUCCCUAAAGACUCCCCAUCACCAAGGGACCAAUGAUCCUAUGUACCAAGCUGUACCAGGGAAAGGCGCUCAGUUCCUUGGAGUCCUAGAAAAUAGAAUAUCAAAGCUGCAAAAGACUUUAGUGACCAUCUCUUCCAAAUUCCUCUUUUUUUUUUUCCCCAUUUGCAGAUUUUCCUUGGGAUCACCAACUCUAUCUAGAUACAGCUGGUAAAAUGAGGAGCCAAUAAGGGAGGGAGAGGGAAUAGCUUCAGAAACUGAUAGUAUGGAGAUAACUACUCAGUAAUAAAAAGAUAGCCCUCUUUCCCCCAUAUGUUAGGGCAAACGUCAGUACACACACACAAUCAGCAUUAGCUUCUUUACAAUAAACACGUUUGCCAUUGGAAAAAACCUCAAGGGAGUCCCAGCCUCGAACUCCUGUUUUCUCUUACACUCGGAUGUACUGCCCUCUCUUUUUCCCUGAGGGACGUGACCGGCGGGGAGGCACCUUCGCCGGGGUCCCAAGGAACCCUGACAUUUCCAAGGAAUGCCUGGAAGGAGAGGCUGAGGGUUGGGAGGCGAGUGGAAGACACUGCCCUCCGGGACGAUGACACGAGACGGGGAGCUAGGUCCUAGGAGCUGUUUCCUUUGAACAUCCCCACGGGGAAAUGGGGGGGAGGAAGUGAGCUUUCCCAAAGUGGGACAGCGGCCCACACACCCCCCCCACGGUGCCUCCCAAACACUUGCUCUGACUCAGCUGCCUGCUCCGAGAGGCGUUCUGGCUGGCCAGACUCGGGGUGGCAGCUGCACGCGGCCAUUUCUCUCUCUCCCUGUCUUGCCUCCCACCUCGCCGGGCGGGGAGAGGGUAAGUCACACAGCAGCCACGGGAGGUUGGAGGUCACAGAAGAAACGGCGCAGAGAAAACCUCCCCCCAGACUGACCCCGAGCUCUGGGACGUCCCACCCCCCCGACCCCUUCGUUUCCACCGUACUCUGGACAGUCAGUCCUCUGCCUCUGAGAGGUUUGUGAGCAGGUCUUCCAUCCUCGCCUACUGAACACCAAUCACUGCCACCACUGGCUUCCCCGCCCUCCUGCCGGGCUCCGAGCUCCUUCCCGACUCCUCCCUCCCAAGCCAAACUCCUCCUCCUUCCGAAGGGUAUGCUGGCCCCUCCAUCCUCUCUCAGCUUCGCCUGCCACGCAAGUCACACCUCAGUGCCCCGACUCACCUCCUCCACGAAGCCUUCCCCGAUUAACCUCACCUGGCUUUAUACUUCCUUUGCAUGGAACCCCGUAGGGACUUAUUUAGUCAAUAUUUAUCAAGCACUUAUUAUUUCUCCAUGUGUUGGUUUGCAAUAUUAAAAAUAACCCACAUUUCCAUA